GGGGGCGAAUAGGCUUCGACGUAGAUCCUAAAACCCGAGAUGCAUGUCGAGUCGGCAACGUAGACUCGUAAUCGAUCAGUUGCAAACAAAUAGUUGCAAACGAUAGCAAUUAUCUCCAAGAAGCUUACGCAUAAUGCUUCUUCCGUUGCUGGGGUUCGCCUAUAGAUCCCUCUCAACGGCCAUGUAUAUAGGCUUGCUUUAAGUACAGCCCGUUGCUUAAAGGCCAAGAACUUAAGGGCUCGCUAUCCAUCUACCCUGCACGUUGGGUAAUGGCCAGUUAAUAUAGUAGACGCUGCUAAGCAUGUAGAAUCAAGGGCGGAUGAUUUACGGACGCGGGUUCAAUCCCCGCCGCCUCCA
rnacentral:tmRNA from 1 species